GAUGAACGCUGGCGGCGUGCCUAAUACAUGCAAGUCGAGCGAACGGACGAGAAGCUUGCUUCUCUGAUGUUAGCGGCGGACGGGUGAGUAACACGUGGAUAACCUACCUAUAAGACUGGGAUAACUUCGGGAAACCGGAGCUAAUACCGGAUAAUAUUUUGAACCGCAUGGUUCAAGUGUGAAAGACGGUCUUGCUGUCACUUAUAGAUGGAUCCGCGCUGCAUUAGCUAGUUGGUAAGGUAACGGCUUACCAAGGCAACGAUGCAUAGCCGACCUGAGAGGGUGAUCGGCCACACUGGAACUGAGACACGGUCCAGACUCCUACGGGAGGCAGCAGUAGGGAAUCUUCCGCAAUGGGCGAAAGCCUGACGGAGCAACGCCGCGUGAGUGAUGAAGGUCUUCGGAUCGUAAAACUCUGUUAUUAGGGAAGAACAUAUGUGUAAGUAACUGUGCACAUCUUGACGGUACCUAAUCAGAAAGCCACGGCUAACUACGUGCCAGCAGCCGCGGUAAUACGUAGGUGGCAAGCGUUAUCCGGAAUUAUUGGGCGUAAAGCGCGCGUAGGCGGUUUUUUAAGUCUGAUGUGAAAGCCCACGGCUCAACCGUGGAGGGUCAUUGGAAACUGGAAAACUUGAGUGCAGAAGAGGAAAGUGGAAUUCCAUGUGUAGCGGUGAAAUGCGCAGAGAUAUGGAGGAACACCAGUGGCGAAGGCGACUUUCUGGUCUGUAACUGACGCUGAUGUGCGAAAGCGUGGGGAUCAAACAGGAUUAGAUACCCUGGUAGUCCACGCCGUAAACGAUGAGUGCUAAGUGUUAGGGGGUUUCCGCCCCUUAGUGCUGCAGCUAACGCAUUAAGCACUCCGCCUGGGGAGUACGACCGCAAGGUUGAAACUCAAAGGAAUUGACGGGGACCCGCACAAGCGGUGGAGCAUGUGGUUUAAUUCGAAGCAACGCGAAGAACCUUACCAAAUCUUGACAUCCUUUGACAACUCUAGAGAUAGAGCUUUCCCCUUCGGGGGACAAAGUGACAGGUGGUGCAUGGUUGUCGUCAGCUCGUGUCGUGAGAUGUUGGGUUAAGUCCCGCAACGAGCGCAACCCUUAAGCUUAGUUGCCAUCAUUAAGUUGGGCACUCUAAGUUGACUGCCGGUGACAAACCGGAGGAAGGUGGGGAUGACGUCAAAUCAUCAUGCCCCUUAUGAUUUGGGCUACACACGUGCUACAAUGGACAAUACAAAGGGCAGCGAAACCGCGAGGUCAAGCAAAUCCCAUAAAGUUGUUCUCAGUUCGGAUUGUAGUCUGCAACUCGACUACAUGAAGCUGGAAUCGCUAGUAAUCGUAGAUCAGCAUGCUACGGUGAAUACGUUCCCGGGUCU
rnacentral:rRNA from 1 species